ACGAACGCUGGCGGCGUGCCUAACACAUGCAAGUCGAGCGGAGAUAAGAUGAAGAUUUAUCGGAUUCUUAUUUUAGCGGCGGACGGGUGAGUAACGCGUGAGAAACCUGCCUUAUACAGGGGGAUAACACACCGAAAGGUGUGCUAAUACCGCAUAAUGUUAUUGAAUCGCAUGGUUCGAUAACCAAAGGAGCAAUCCGGUAUAAGAUGGUCUCGCGUCUGAUUAGCUAGUUGGUGGGGUAAAGGCCUACCAAGGCGACGAUCAGUAGCCGACCUGAGAGGGUGAUCGGCCACAUUGGGACUGAGACACGGCCCAGACUCCUACGGGAGGCAGCAGUGGGGAAUAUUGCGCAAUGGGGGAAACCCUGACGCAGCAACGCCGCGUGAAGGAUGAAGGUCUUCGGAUUGUAAACUUCUUUGAUUGGGGAAGAUAAUGACGGUACCCAAAAAACAAGCCACGGCUAACUACGUGCCAGCAGCCGCGGUAAUACGUAGGUGGCGAGCGUUGUCCGGAAUUACUGGGUGUAAAGGGCGUGUAGGCGGGAAGGUAAGUCAGAUGUGAAAUACCGGGGCUCAACUCCGGGGCUGCAUUUGAAACUAUCUUUCUUGAGUGCAGGAGAGGAAGGUGGAAUUCCUAGUGUAGCGGUGAAAUGCGUAGAUAUUAGGAGGAACACCAAUGGCGAAGGCGACUUUCUGGACUGUAACUGACGCUGAGGCGCGAAAGCAUGGGGAGCGAACAGGAUUAGAUACCCUGGUAGUCCAUGCCGUAAACGAUGGAUACUAGGUGUUGGGGGUAUCGACCCCCCCAGUGCCGCAGCUAACGCAAUAAGUAUCCCACCUGGGGAGUACGGCCGCAAGGUUGAAACUCAAAGGAAUUGACGGGGGCCCGCACAAGCAGUGGAGUAUGUGGUUUAAUUCGAAGCAACGCGAAGAACCUUACCAGGGCUUGACAUCCAACGAAUCCUGUAGAGGUACGGGAGUGCCUUCGGGAACGUUGAGACAGGUGGUGCAUGGUUGUCGUCAGCUCGUGUCGUGAGAUGUUGGGUUAAGUCCCGCAACGAGCGCAAGCCCUUGUUGUUAGUUGCCAGCAUUUAGUUGGGCACUCUAGCAAGACUGCCGGUGACAAAUCGGAGGAAGGUGGGGACGACGUCAAAUCAUCAUGCCCCUUAUGUCCUGGGCUACACACGUACUACAAUGGCUGUUAACAGAGGGAAGCAAUACAGUGAUGUGGAGCAAAUCCCUAAAAACAGUCCCAGUUCAGAUUGUAGGCUGAAACUCGCCUACAUGAAGUCGGAAUUGCUAGUAAUCGCGGAUCAGCAUGCCGCGGUGAGUACGUUCCCGGGCCUUGUACACACCGCCCGUCACACCAUGAGAGUCUGCAACACCCGAAGCCUGUGAGCUAACUUUAUUGAGGCAGCAGUCGAAGGUGGGGCCGAUGAUUAGGGUG
rnacentral:rRNA from 1 species